GUCAGUCCGGCUCAGAUGCGACUGGAACACAGCACUCGACUACAACGAAGAGAAAACGACUUGUGAAGAAGCAAAGAUGGAAGACUCCGGUGCAUCGCGCGUGGAAGCAGGAGGACAACGUGUUUUUAUCCCCAAAAUGAGUGACUGCUGUACGUCACCAGGAUAAUGGGGGAUAUGGACAGCGUUCAACAGGAUGUGCCAUGGUGCCACUAGCAGUUCUCAGUGCCAGAGAUCGGACACACCAAACGGGUCGUGAGAUGAGACCAGAGCGAGCUGACACCGCAGUGAGCUGAUGGAGGUAGAACUGCGCCAAGUCUGAACUCUUGAUGCAGUACAUACCACACACAUGGCUUUCAUCACAGCCCCAGCCCCAAAUGCUCAUAAAUGACUAGUGUGUCCCAUCCACUCAAAUCCAAGUGGAAUCUCAACCUUUGAUGCAGUAAAUUCCAACCAGUUUCAUAAGCGUGGCAGACUAAUAUAAGCCCAACACUCAUAUCCAAACAGAACACCCUCUCCUGGACACAGCAUGCAUAUCACCCAAAGUACUAGAGGUUUCCUAGCAUCUUUCCCAUAGCAGUGGAACCUAUGCAAGACUAGACUGCUAUAAUAUUUCAGCAGAGCCAUGCCAUGAAUCGAACAACACCGUUGCACUUCAGGCUCCAGGGGGCGCUCAAGGGCCAGUAACAGAAGAAAAACAAAUCCAGUGGAUGAAAUAGGUGACAUCGGAUGCCUCUUAGGAAUACAUUCAACGCAAUUUUCAUACAUUCUAUUGGACCACAAAUGUGUCAUGUUGUUAGUUGUCAAAUCCCCCACUUUACAUCACCCUUUUGCGUUAAAUGUUGGAGGUUAUUGUGAAUGUAAGUGAUGCAGAUCUGAGAUGUCUCCCCAUAUGUCCACUAGAUGGCACAAUUCUCUUACAAAUAAGGGCAAUAUGAAGCUUGUAUUCAGUUCACAUUUCACUCAAGGAAUUUUAAGAUAACACUGUGCAUUCAAAUUCCCAGUGUCUGACCUACAGUUGACCAAAGUUAUAUAAUUCCAUGAUUUUAAGUUUUCAUCUAUAGAUUUCCUUUUCUACCUCCGUGUUGCUUGUAUUGUCUGAACACUUCAUGAGUUCAUGCUAUCUGAUUCAUCAGUAUCUUGUCUCCUGUGGUCUUUUUGUGUUUAAUGUUUUGUUUUAUUUUUAACAGAAGUUGAAUGGGUUAUAAAUCAUAAGUCAUACAUUUUUAAAGUCUUCUACCUUGGUUAUUUUUUCAAAACUCAUCUGCUCUUUGAUUUAUCAGUAAAUUUGCAAUGAGAGUAGUUUGAGCAGUCUUGGCUACUUGACUGAUCAUUGUGUUGUGCAAACAAUUGUCCACUUGUUAAUGUUUACUUGUGUCUAACAAUCACAAUUUGAUUGCACAGGGAUUCCAGGAAUAUCAUUUUUAGUUUUUUUUUUUUUAGUCUCUCUACUUAACAAUAGUUUUCUAACCCCUUAUUGUGCAAUCUGAUAAAUCAGUAAUAUUGUAAAACUAUUUGUGCGAUCUAGUCUCUUGGAUUAGUCUUGGCGUGCAUACUAUACUGCACUUGGUCCCUUCUUAAAAUAUUAAUGUUUUUGUUUUGUUUUUUCUGAUUUUGUCUGCAAUCAUAUAAUUUCAGACUUCAUUUUAUCAUUUAAAAUCAAUUCUUCUUUUGAGUGUUUACUUUGUCGUGUCACAACAUCACCACUAGAUGUCAGACUUUCCCUGCUAAUGCCUAAAUCUCAUCAGUUCUGGUUUACAGCCCAUGCUCAUUCAUUUGGCUUGAAAUAUGCAUCCCUUUUUUUUUUUUUUCUUUUAAGUUCCAUUCUGGUCUAUGUGCUAUGUUUUUGGUGGCCAUAUGCUUAUCCCUAUACCAUGGCUCAUAAACUCAUUAGAACUCAGACCCAGUUGAAUUAAAAAUAUCAAGAAAUAUCUGUCUUUGUAUCUUGUAUUUGGUAAAAGAUAAAAAAAAACUGACAAUUUUACUUUCAUUUUGGUCUAUAGGUUAAAUUCCAUCCCAGUUAAUUUCCUAGGUUUUAUUUUUGGUAUCCCACAUGCUUAUCCCAGUUCAUCAUUUACCCAUUAAAAAAACAAUGCAAUUUAGUUUCAACAAUGUGUAAUUAAAACAUGGACAUUUCUUGACAUCUGCAUUUGAUUAAAACGGCACAUUUUUAAAAAUUUCAUCAAGCAUCUAGUUUGUAACAUUAAAAAGCAAAUGCACGGACAAGCGUACAGAAAGUAGGGCAUCGCAAUGAAGAUGUAAGGAUUUGAACCCACCACUUUGGCUUUCGGCAGAUCGCAGACUUUUGAAGCGGUCGGGGUGAUGAAACCUGCAGCGCUUCGGGAUAUUGUGUCAAGAGUGUGUCUAUAUUUCUGACACAUAAAGAGAAUAUUCCAGAUUUUUUGGGGGGAGUGGGGGAGUAGUAUGAAUUUUUUGUCAGGCAUUCACCUCUGGAUGAACUCUCAGUGGAAGCAGAUACAAGUGAGGAAGAAGAGGAGGGGUAGAGAGGAAGGCAGCACUGCAAACCUCAGCUUCUUCACGCUUUGUUCUCCUCAAAAAACACACAUGCUGCAGUUUUCUCAAUUGAAUUAGUUCUACGAGCCGCCACACUUAAAUUGCGUUUGGCAAAAAGUUCACCAGUGCACUGAAACUAUUUGGU